rnacentral:lncRNA from 1 species
UGUCAGUAAUAUAUAUAUAUAAGCAGAAAAGAUAUUGUGAAAGUUUAUAUUACUUAAUUGAUUAUGGUGGUAUAAAAAGAAACUGUUCCAUCUUAAAUCCAACAAUAACAGUAAUAGACUGCUUGGCCUCAAGUUUCAGUGCGACAAACUCCAUCAUUUUCAGCAGUCAAUCAAAUUAACGGGUUAAAUGAGAAUGGUGACUGGUUAAGAGGCAUCAUCGUAAGAACAAUAACUGGCUGUUUUACUAUGCUCUCAACUAUGCUGCUGUUGCUACUGGCUUUACUUUUCCACACAUUUGGUUUAAUCAAAUAGGGCAAGGACAAGGUUCAUAGACGAGACAGCAUCCAUAAAGUAGAUACGGAGGAUAAUGAUAACCAGUCAAUAAGAGUCACAAGAGGUCUACAAGAGGACAUUUGUAAACAUUGGUAAACCAUAUAACAGUUGUGCACUUGCAGCAGCAGGAUCAUAUUUUUCUCAGUUUAAUCACUUCAUCUUACAUACUAUGUAUCUUAAUUCUUACGGUUAAUUUAUCAACAGCAUACAUUGUCAAAAUCCAAGAGAGUUCGUUCUCCAGUGCUUAGUUCUUCAUUUCAAACUUUUAAUUUCAAAAAGGUUGCUGCUUAACGUGCUACUACAUAAGCCUGAUAAAUUCAUGCUGGUAGCAAUUUUUCCUAUAGAAAAUUUAGUACUGGGAACAAAUUGAAAGUUUUAAUUCAAAGUGCUAAAACUUUUGGAAUCAGCUGGACUGCAAAAAAUUCUACAGAAUAAGAUCAAUUUGAGGAUAAGAAGGAGCCAAAUAUUCCAUUACAAGGACUUCAAUAUUUUUUACCAGCAAAAGGAAGUCUUUAGCAAGGAGUUAUCAUUGUAAACUUAUCCAGACAAAAAAAAUUGACAAUUAUGUACAACUAUUAUUACUUGAAUUUGAAACUCUCUACCCUUCUGAUGCUGUACCUUCCAGGCGCCUUAAAACUAGUAAAGCUACUGAUAUCAUUGUGUGUGCAUUCUCAAAUAUCUUGAGAAACUUGGAUCAAGCUAACCAGUGUUUUUGAGUAAGCUCGAGAUCCUUACAAAAUUAAGUCAAUGCCAAAAUAUUACAAACUAUCAGGAAUGAAAAUAAAAACUCAAUUCAAGAAUGAACAUAUGGAUUUAUUCAAAGUAUGAGGAUGCUAUACAUAAAAUAUAAGAAUAAUAUAAAAUAAUUCAAGAAGUCAGCGAGAGCUGUUAUAAACUAUCAGCAUUUAAUAAAAUUAAAAGUUGAAUCUGUUAAUGAAUUAUAUUCCGUACAAAUAGCAAAAUUAUCAAUUAAUUUAUAUGAAAAAUUUCUUUGUAAAUAAAAUAAAAAUUUGAAAUGAUAUAA